rnacentral:lncRNA from 1 species
GCACAACGCAGCUCCGCCCUCGCAAAGGCACAGCGCGGGCGCAGGCGCCCAGAGGCGCACAGGAGACCUCAGGCCCAGACUCCACUCCCCAGCUGUGAAAGGCCUAACUGCAUUUGCGCAGGAACACCAAAUCCCUCGCAGCUGCACGGGGCUGAGCCAGGGCCACGGGCGGGGUCGGCCAUCCCAGAGUCCUGACAGCUCCGUGGUGUAUGCCAAGGGGCCUGGGCCGCUGACCGAGGGGCGCCUUUCCCAGGCCAGAGGCCCCCACCCCACCCCAGGAGAGCUGCCCCCCUUUCAGUUCCCAGAACGGAGCCCGGCUGUGGAAUAGUGAUGCGACUGCUGGCCAGACCCCCAAGCUAGCCCGCCAGGCCUCCAUAGAGCUGCCCAGCAUGGCUGCAUCCAGUACCAAGAGUUGGUGGGAGACGGGUGAGGUACAGGCUCAGUCUGCGGCCAAGACUCCGUCCUGCAAGAGCCAGCUCAAUCACUUCUCCAGAAAGACUUACUGAGUCCUCUGCACUGAACAGGUGUCCUGUGCUCCAGGAGAGCCCUGGGCUGGCUCCUAGUGUAGCCAUUAUGACCCUGGAAUGCACCAUCUUUCACAUCACUGCCUGGCCUUCUAGAAUCUCACUCUUUGGCAGUUGCACUGGGUACUGGCUGAGUUCUGGAAAACAGGAAUGUGAGCAGAGUGCUGGGAGCACCUAAGAACUGGCAUGACUCUACACCCUCUCUCCUUCUGCAAUGACCUCGUGUCAAGAUGGCAGACCCGCAGAGAUGAAUGUGCCUGGAUACCUGAGUCACCAGGUGGAGGAAACUCCCAUUGACAUGCAUCACACUCCAC